UUCUAAAUAUAUGAUUUUAUUUUGAUAUUAAAAGGAUUUAUUGUGUUUCAUGUAUACAUUGCUGAAAAACUAUGAUUAAGAAAUUGAGUUCUAUAAAUAUAUAUACCACAAUGAUCAUCUAUAUGUUUUUCUCUCCUACAUUAUUAAAAACUUCCAUCAAUAGAGUGAAUGAUCUUAAAACUAGAAAUAUUUCAGCUCACUCAAAUGAUUACUAAAAAAAAAAGAAAAUGUAAAUGCGGUUGAAAGAAACUAAGCUUCAAAUGAAUCAUUUUCUGAUUGAUAUUUCUAUACAUUUUCUCUAAGAUUAAGAGAAAGCAUAACUUGUUCGUAAAGGAUUAGAAAGAGUAAUUACUACAAAUUUUGGAAUAAUACUAGAUUACUCUACAUUCUCGAUAUUACAGAAUUUCAGUGUUAUUCACGUUUAUCACUAUAAUCUGAAAUUCAACAAUUUAAAAUGAUUAAAGAAGAAUGCAUCUUUUGAGGGGGAGCUUUAGAUAUUCAGUAUCCUAUCCUAAAGUUACUUUAAUUUGAAGCCUACCUUGUUUUUUAUGGAUUGAUUUUGAUGAACCUCCUUAUAUUGCAAGACUUGCUUUAAUUAUAUAAUAAGUUUAUACCUUGAGAUGAGUUCUAUAAAGGUUGUCUUAUCUCAAACCUUGAGUCUCAUGAAAAUAAGCUGAAACUUAUAGAAAAUAUAUUUUUGAGAUUGACAAUUUUAUUGAACAUUAUCUUCAAAUUCUAAACUCUUAAAUGGAAUGAUCAAUUGAGGGAGAGAAAGAAAAU
rnacentral:lncRNA from 1 species